UUUCUUUUUUCAUGCAAGGCAAAGUAUUCCGUGGAGAUCUGGCCCGUACCAGAGCAACUAACCGUAGAGAUCGAGGUAUGCGCUGUCUUCUCGUCUGCCCUGAGAUGUUCAGUGAUAGAAUAUAGGACAGAGAAGAAGAAGAGUGUUCCCAGCGCGGAGUGGACCACCCCCAUCACACACAAGAUUGUGCCCAGUCACAACAAACACAACGUGCUCGUCAGCUUCAGGAAGGCGCCACACGCAUUUGCGGCGUACAAUGUCAGCCUUUUAAGGGCGGAAGACCGAGAUUUUGAGAUUGUCUCUACUGUGUUUGUGCCGUCUACAUCAGAAAAAAUCGAAGUUAACUUCAAAAGAAAUUGCCCCGGCCGAUACAAGAUAUGGGUAAGAAAAACCGACUUAUUGUGUAUUGUUAUUAAUUUUUUCACAUAUUAUGUGUCUGUUGAUUAGCCCAAUAUGACUCUUACAUUUACACCAGUGCUAAGUAUUCUCCUUAUAUAUUAAUGAUCGCCAAUAUUUAAA